rnacentral:lncRNA from 1 species
GAAAGCUGAUGGUAAAUUCACUGUGAAAUCAAUAUAUGGGGUGCUCAGUGACGGAGGGACAAGGGAUGCCCGCGCCAGUAAGUUAUGGGGUCUUCAGAUACCUCUGAAAGUUCAAGUUUUUACUUGGCUCGUUCUCAAGAUAAGACCACUUACAGCAGAUAAUCUCAUUAAGAGGGGAUGGACAGGGAACACAACCUGUGUGCUCUGCGGAAUUGAGGGAGAAAUGGUGAAUCACCUAUUUUCGCGAUGUGUAUUCAGCAGAUUCAUGAUUGCCAUGGCUGUGGAAGGGGUUCAGGUUGGGGACCUGGGCGAUGAUGUGAGGUACGUAUGGGAUAAGUGGAUGGCAAGGGAUAGCGCUCAGUCUGCUGGAAACAUAAUGACUGAACUGACAGCCAGUUGGUGGGUCAUCUGUAAGGUAAGGAAUGCCGUUAUUUUUAGGUUGGCUAAUGCUGACCCCUUGCUAACUGUCAACUCGAUCAUACGUUUGAUGCUUCAGUGGGAGGAGAAUAGUGUGUUUAAACGAGCGCAUCCUGGCCCCGGAAUUUAAAGAAAAUUAAAUGUUGGUUUUUUUUUCUCUUUUAAUUUUAAUUUUAUUUUAUUCUACUUUUAUUUUUAAUAGUAUUUGGAUCAUUUUACUACUAAGUUUAUAGUUCUUGGAUGAAAAAUUAUAGAAUUGUGAUGUUACUAGUCCCCUAAAAUUUAAUGAUCGCCUUUCUAAAGUUUAGUGAGUGAUUGGUAGAAUAGUAUAUGAUCUACGAAAUAAAAUUAAUUGAAGAAUAUAUUUAAUGAUGAAAAUUUUAAUAGCACCAAAUACUUGAUAUUAUUAAAAAUAUCUCAGCCGGACUCUUCCGUAAUGAUAACAAAUAACAAUAAUGAUAACGUGUCCAAGCACUUGCGGGGGCAUUAAUGGAAAAUAACACUGCGGUCUGUGCCUCUAUUAAAUGCACCUAACUUUGAACUCAAAAUCAAACGCUGAAUUAAGAGAAAUUAUACUAUAUAGCAGUGACACCGUAUCAUCUAUAACCAAUCAAUCACAUUUUCUUAUUUGAAAAAAAAUAUAGUAAAAAUAUUCUUCUAAUAAUUAUAAUGGACAGAUAAAUCAAAAAAAAUAUUUUGAUUCAUGGGUGACACAUUCCAGAAUUUUUCCUAAAUUAAACACUGUGUGGGCCCCGCAAAACUAUAACCAUGUACAUUUUUUUGCGCCCCUGGUGCUAGGUCCCCGUUACGCGGUUUCUAAACCCCACGGCAACCAACGAGGAUCCACCACGUGUCGAGAUCUCACAGGGAAUUUGAUAGGGUUUUUUUUGCAUUUAGCCCCCCGAAGAAUUUUUAUUUUAAAAGUAGCCCUAUCAAAAUUUAAUUUGCAAAAAUGGUCCUACUCCUGCCACGCAAGUGCCACGUCAGCGCCACGCGGGCGGGGCCGGGGGCGGUAGUUAAGUUAAACACGGUGAAUCAUUCACCGUGUUUAGACACGGUGAAUGAUUCACCGUGUUUAGUACGUAUUUUUUGUAGAGGAAUAGGGAGUUAGGGAUGUUAAUGGGGUAUGGAUAUUCAAAAUAUUAUUCGAACCUAAACCCGAAUAAAUUAUUUUAUAUACAUAAUUUAUUUUUACAUAUUUAUACAAUAUAUAAAAUAUCCAAUAAUUUUUAUUUCUUAGAUCUUCAUCCAAUCCAACGGUAUAAAAUAUCUAAUAAUUUUAAAAAUCUAUACCAUUGGAUUGAUNGGCUGAAGAACUGCCCGGCAUCACCGGUGUCGCUGAGGAGGCGGUCGACAAGUGCGGUGCGGUCCUCCGAGCUGAGCGCGGCGACGUCGACCUCGGAGAAGGCGCCAGGGGAGUCGUCGCCGCGGCGGAGGAGUCCGCGGCGGGCGCGGGCGAAGGUGGGGAGGCGCUCGAUCGCCGCCCGCCGGAGCGCCUCCUCCUCCUCCUCCUCCACGCCGCUGCAUUCGCGGUACGAGCUCGACCUCGAGAACGCCGGCUCCGUAGGCGCCCACAUAGUAACCCUAACCCUAACCCUAACCCUAACCCUCGUCGCUCGAAGGGGUGGGGGUGGGGGUGGUGGAGAGAGGAGGAGGGGGUCUUAAAAGAGGGAGGAGCAUAGGGUUGGGGUUGGAUCCACCGACUCGGAGCGAGCAUUUAUUGCCUCUCUUCUCUCUCUCUCUCUCUCUCUCUCUCUCUCUCUCUCGCGUUUUCUUACUUGCAGAAACGCGAAAAGGGAGGGGGGAGAGAGGGUAAAAAAAGUUUAGGAAGGAAAAAUGGCGGGGUUUAGAGACUUUAAGACCGUUGGGUGGUUGGGAUUUUAAAGUGAGGUUAUUAAUGGCGCGGAACGUCUUAUUUAGGGGUUUUUUUGCAUUUAGCCCCCUAGUAAAUUUUUAUUUUAAAAAUAGCCCUAUCAAAAUUUAAUUUACAAAAAUAGCCCUGCACCUGCCACGCAGGCGCCACGUCAGCGCCACGCGGGCUGGGCAUGGGCCAGUGUAUUAAGUUAAACACGGUGAAUCAUUCACCGUGUUUAGACACGGUGAAUGAUUCACCGUGUUUAAUACGUAUUUUUUUGUAGAGAAACAGGGAGUUAGGGAUGUUAAUGGGGUAUGGAUAUUCAAAAUAUUAUUCGAACCUAAAUCCGAAUAAAUUAUUUUAUAUACAUAAUUUAUUUUUAUAUAUUUAUACAAUAUAUAAAAUAUCCAAUAAUUUUUAUUUCUUAGAUCUUCAUCCAAUCCAACGGUAUAAAAUAUCUAAUAAUUUUAAAAAUCUAUACCAUUGGAUUGAUGAAGAUCUAAGAAAUAAAAAUUAUUAGAUAUUUUAUAUAUUGUAUAAAUAAAUAAAAAUAAAUUAUGNCAACGGUAUAGAUUUUUAAAACCCGCUGGGUUUAGGUUCGGGUUUCGAGUUUUUGGUUGGAUAUGGAUAUAGGUAUGAAUUUUUAAAAUCCGUUGGGUUUGGAUCCGGAUUUGGAUUUUAAUUUGAUUUUCAGGUUCGGAUUCGGAUUUUUGAAAAAGAGAAG